rnacentral:tRNA from 1 species
GGUUCCGUGGUGUAGUGGUUAUCACGUCUGCUUAACACGCAGAAGGCCGCGAGUUCGAGCCUCACCGAAACCU